rnacentral:rRNA from 1 species
CAGUAGCCGCGGGAAUACGUAGGGUGCGAGCGUUAAUCGGAAUUACUGGGCGUAAAGCGUGCGCAGGCGGUUGUGUAAGACAGGUGUGAAAUCCCCGGGCUUAACCUGGGAACUGCGCUUGUGACUGCACAGCUAGAGUAUGGCAGAGGGGGGUGGAAUUCCACGUGUAGCGGUGAAAUGCGUAGAGAUGUGGAGGAACACCGAUGGCGAAGGCAGCCCCCUGGGCCAAUACUGACGCUCAUGCACGAAAGCGUGGGGAGCAAACAGGAUUAGAUACCCCUGUAGUCCCUGUCUCUUAUAC